rnacentral:tRNA from 1 species
GGGCUGUUAGCUCAGUUGGUAGAGCAGCUGACUCUUAAUCAGCGGGUCCAGGGUUCGAAUCCCUGACAGCCCA